rnacentral:rRNA from 1 species
GGGGAAUAUUGGACAAUGGGGGCAACCCUGAUCCAGCCAUGCCGCGUGAGUGAUGAAGGCCUUCGGGUUGUAAAGCUCUUUUGGCGGGGACGAUGAUGACGGUACCCGCAGAAUAAGCCCCGGCUAACUUCGUGCCAGCAGCCGCGGUAAGACGAAGGGGGCAAGCGUUGUUCGGAAUUACUGGGCGUAAAGGGCGCGUAGGCGGUUUGCUUAGUCAGGCGUGAAAGCCCUGGGCUUAACCUGGGAUGUGCGCUUGAUACUGGCAGGCUUGAGUGUGGGAGAGGUUGGUGGAAUUCCCAGUGUAGAGGUGAAAUGCGUAGAUAUCAGGAGGAACACCUGCGGUGUAGACAGCUUUCUGGACCAAAACUGACGCUGAGGCACGAAAGCGUGGGUAGCAAACA